rnacentral:misc_RNA from 1 species
UACGGAGGGUGCAAGCGCUAAUCGGAAUUACUGGGCGUAAAGCGCGCGUAGGUGGCUUGCUAAGCCGGAUGUGAAAGCCCCGGGCUCAACCUGGGAACGGCAUCAGGAACUGUCAAGCUAGAGUACAGGUGAGGAAGGUAGAAUUCCCGGUGUAGCGGUGAAAUGCGUAGAUAUCGGGAGGAAUACUAGUGGCGAAGGCGGCCUUCUGGACUGAUACUGACACGGAGGUGCGAAAGCGUGGGUAGCAAACAGG